AACGGCGGCCGUAACUAUAACGGUCCUAAGGUAGCGAAAUUCCUUGUCGGGUAAGUUCCGACCUGCACGAAUGGCGUAAUGAUGGCCAGGCUGUCUCCACCCGAGACUCAGUGAAAUUGAACUCGCUGUGAAGAUGCAGUGUACCCGCGGCAAGACGGAAAGACCCCGUGAACCUUUACUAUAGCUUGACACUGAACAUUGAGCCUUGAUGUGUAGGAUAGGUGGGAGGCUUUGAAGUGUGGACGCCAGUCUGCAUGGAGCCGACCUUGAAAUACCACCCUUUAAUGUUUGAUGUUCUAACGUUGGCCCGUAAUCCGGGUUGCGGACAGUGUCUGGUGGGUAGUUUGACUGGGGCGGUCUCCUCCUAAAGAGUAACGGAGGAGCACGAAGGUUGGCUAAUCCUGGUCGGACAUCAGGAGGUUAGUGCAAUGGCAUAAGCCAGCUUGACUGCGAGCGUGACGGCGCGAGCAGGUGCGAAAGCAGGUCAUAGUGAUCCGGUGGUUCUGAAUGGAAGGGCCAUCGCUCAACGGAUAAAAGGUACUCCGGGGAUAACAGGCUGAUACCGCCCAAGAGUUCAUAUCGACGGCGGUGUUUGGCACCUCGAUGUCGGCUCAUCACAUCCUGGGGCUGAAGUAGGUCCCAAGGGUAUGGCUGUUCGCCAUUUAAAGUGGUACGCGAGCUGGGUUUAGAACGUCGUGAGACAGUUCGGUCCCUAUCUGCCGUGGGCGCUGGAGAACUGAGGGGGGCUGCUCCUAGUACGAGAGGACCGGAGUGGACGCAUCACUGGUGUUCGGGUUGUCAUGCCAAUGGCACUGCCCGGUAGCUAAAUGCGGAAGAGAUAAGUGCUGAAAGCAUCUAAGCACGAAACUUGCCCCGAGAUGAGUUCUCCCUGAGACUUAGAGUCUCCUGAAGGAACGUUGAAGACGACGACGUUGAUAGGCCGGGUGUGUAAGCGCAGCGAUGCGUUGAGCUAACCGGUACUAAUGAACCGUGAGGCUUAACCUU
rnacentral:rRNA from 1 species